UAUUAGGCUGGUGUAAAAGUAAUCGCUUUUUUCCCCAUUACUUUCAAUGGCAAAAAUCUCAAUUACUUUUGCACCAACCUAAUA
rnacentral:miRNA from 1 species